rnacentral:rRNA from 1 species
AUUGAACGCUGGCGGCAGGCUUAACACAUGCAAGUCGAGCGGGGGAUGUUGCUUCGGUAACUGACCUAGCGGCGGACGGGUGAGUAAUGCUUAGGAAUCUGCCUAUUAGUGGGGGACAACAUUCCGAAAGGAAUGCUAAUACCGCAUACGCCCUACGGGGGAAAGCAGGGGAUCUUCGGACCUUGCGCUAAUAGAUGAGCCUAAGUCAGAUUAGCUAGUUGGUGGGGUAAAGGCCUACCAAGGCGACGAUCUGUAGCGGGUCUGAGAGGAUGAUCCGCCACACUGGGACUGAGACACGGCCCAGACUCCUACGGGAGGCAGCAGUGGGGAAUAUUGGACAAUGGGCGGAAGCCUGAUCCAGCCAUGCCGCGUGUGUGAAGAAGGCCUUUUGGUUGUAAAGCACUUUAAGCGAGGAGGAGGCUACCGAGACUAAUACUCUUGGAUAGUGGACGUUACUCGCAGAAUAAGCACCGGCUAACUCUGUGCCAGCCGCCGCGGUAACAC